GUCAGCUUUUGUGGCUUUUGUGCUAGGAUUGUGUGCAUGUAUGUGUGUUUGUGCGUACAUGCAUCCAUGCCUGCAUGUGUGCGUGUUUGUUUGAGUUUGUGCACACGCGCAUGACUAAUAUUGCUGUGGUGUUCGUGUAUUACAGAGCAAGAAUAUGCCUGUACGGUUCAGUGAAGAAGAGAGGAUGAGAGAACGGAAGAGUCUGUUGAGAGAUUGUUUUCUUCUAUGGAAUGUGGUGAAUCGUGUAUGUGCUCUUUUUGGCUUUGCAGAGUAAAUCCCAGUCCAGGGUAGUCCUCUCCAGGACGUCCACCAGUUUCUCCAGCUUGGUGUUGGCCGUGAAGAUGAAGUCAUCGUCCACCCACAGCACAUAC